rnacentral:rRNA from 1 species
UGACUCUGCGAGAAGUCCAUUGAACUUUAUCAUUUAGAGGAAGGAGAAGUCGUAACAAGGUUUCCGUAGGUGAACCUGCGGAAGGAUCAUUG